GUGUUCGUAGAAAGGAGAGACGGUUGGCAUCUCCCCUGACAGGGACGGGAACAGCUUUCGGGCUUUCCUCCAUCACAUUGCGGUUAAGGCUACCCGCUUCGGCGGAUCUUACCCAAAUUUUUUU
rfam:Oryza punctata chromosome 1, whole genome shotgun sequence.